rnacentral:tRNA from 1 species
GGGGUUGUGGUCUAGUGGUAUGACAUCUUCUUAGCAUUGCUCUUUGAGCAUUACUGAGUUGGAGAAGGUUCUGGGUUCGAUUCCCAGCUACUCCA